GAUGAACGCUAGCUACAGGCUUAACACAUGCAAGUCGAGGGGCAGCAUGGUCUUAGCUUGCUAAGACUGAUGGCGACCGGCGCACGGGUGAGUAACACGUAUCCAACCUGCCGUCUACUCUUGGACAGCCUUCUGAAAGGAAGAUUAAUACAAGAUGGCAUCAUGAGUCCGCAUGUUCACAUGAUUAAAGGUAUUCCGGUAGACGAUGGGGAUGCGUUCCAUUAGAUAGUAGGCGGGGUAACGGCCCACCUAGUCUUCGAUGGAUAGGGGUUCGGAGAGGAAGGUCCCCCACAUUGGAACUGAGACACGGUCCAAACUCCUACGGGAGGCAGCAGUGAGGAAUAUUGGUCAAUGGGCGAGAGCCUGAACCAGCCAAGUAGCGUGAAGGAUGACUGCCCUAUGGGUUGUAAACUUCUUUUAUAAAGGAAUAAAGUCGGGUAUGGAUACCCGUUUGCAUGUACUUUAUGAAUAAGGAUCGGCUAACUCCGUGCCAGCAGCCGCGGUAAUACGGAGGAUCCGAGCGUUAUCCGGAUUUAUUGGGUUUAAAGGGAGCGUAGAUGGAUGUUUAAGUCAGUUGUGAAAGUUUGCGGCUCAACCGUAAAAUUGCAGUUGAUACUGGAUAUCUUGAGUGCAGUUGAGGCAGGCGGAAUUCGUGGUGUAGCGGUGAAAUGCUUAGAUAUCACGAAGAACUCCGAUUGCGAAGGCAGCCUGCUAAGCUGCAACUGACAUUGAGGCUCGAAAGUGUGGGUAUCAAACAGG
rnacentral:rRNA from 1 species